CACCAGUGGCGAAGGCGACUCUCUGGUCUGUAACUGACGCUGAGGAGCGAAAGCGUGGGGAGCGAACAGGAUUAGAUACCCUGGUAGUCCACGCCGUAAACGAUGAGUGCUAAGUGUUAGGGGGUUUCCGCCCCUUAGUGCUGCAGCUAACGCAUUAAGCACUCCGCCUGGGGAGUACGGUCGCAAGACUGAAACUCAAAGGAAUUGACGGGGGCCCGCACAAGCGGUGGAGCAUGUGGUUUAAUUCGAAGCAACGCGAAGAACCUUACCAGGUCUUGACAUCCUCUGACAACCCUAGAGAUAGGGCUUUCCCUUCGGGGACAGAGUGACAGGUGGUGCAUGGUUGUCGUCAGCUCGUGUCGUGAGAUGUUGGGUUAAGUCCCGCAACGAGCGCAACCCUUGAUCUUAGUUGCCAGCAUUCAGUUGGGCACUCUAAGGUGACUGCCGGUGACAAACCGGAGGAAGGUGGGGAUGACGUCAAAUCAUCAUGCCCCUUAUGACCUGGGCUACACACGUGCUACAAUGGACAGAACAAAGGGCUGCAAGACCGCAAGGUUUAGCCAAUCCCAUAAAUCUGUUCUC
rnacentral:rRNA from 1 species